GACGAACGCUGGCGGCGUGCUUAACACAUGCAAGUCGAGCGAGGAAAUUCUUUCGGGAAUUUCCUAGCGGCGGACGGGUGAGUAACACGUGGGCAACCUGCCUGAUAGAGGGGGAUAGCCUCCCGAAAGGGAGAUUAAUACCGCAUAAAGUCAAAUGAAGGCAUCUUCGAAUGACCAAAGGAGUAAUCCGCUAUCAGAUGGGCCCGCGGCGCAUUAGCUAGUUGGUGAGGUAACGGCUCACCAAGGCGACGAUGCGUAGCCGACCUGAGAGGGUGAUCGGCCACAUUGGGACUGAGACACGGCCCAGACUCCUACGGGAGGCAGCAGUGGGGAAUAUUGCACAAUGGGGGGAACCCUGAUGCAGCAACGCCGCGUGAGUGAUGAAGGCCUUCGGGUUGUAAAGCUCUGUCUUCAGGGACGAUAAUGACGGUACCUGAGGAGGAAGCCACGGCUAACUACGUGCCAGCAGCCGCAGUAA
rnacentral:rRNA from 1 species